ensembl:snRNA U4 U4 spliceosomal RNA
AGCUUUGCGCAGUGGCAGUAUCGUAGCCAAUGAGGUUUAUCCGAGGCGCGAUUAUUGCUAAUUGAAAACUUUUCCCAAAUCCUUGUAGGUCAGAACUCUAAUUAUCAUCCUGUGGUCUGUUGUGGUAAUGUGCCCACCACCACAAGUAGUAGGCACGUCUUUUUGGAC